GAAAAAUCAAAGGAACCAAUCCCUGAUGUUGAGUGGUGGGAAGCUCCUCUGUUACGAUCUGGUGCUUAUGGUGUUAUGGUCGACGGUAACUUAACUGAUGAUACAUUGAAGAUGGAGAGGAUCACCAUUUAUGUGGAACACCCCCGUCCUAUUGAGCCUCCUGCUGAACCUGCUCCACCUCCUCCACAGCCAUUGAAGCUGACCAAGAAGGAACAGAAGAAAAUGCGCACCCGGCGCCGUAUGGAUCAGGAGAGAGAAAAGCAGGAAAUGAUACGUCAGGGCCUGUUAGAACCACCAAAACCAAAAAUUAAAAUGAGCAAUCUUAUGAGAGUCCUUGGAUCAGAAGCCACUCAGGAUCCCACAAAGCUUGAAAAGGAGAUUAGAAGUGCUGCUGCUGAGCGAGAGCAGGCUCAUAUAGACAGAAAU
rnacentral:misc_RNA from 1 species